AUACGUAGGGAGCGAGCGUUGUCCGGAAUUACUGGGUGUAAAGGGAGCGUAGGCGGGAUGGCAAGUCAGAUGUGAAAACUAUGGGCUCAACCCAUAGACUGCAUUUGAAACUGUUGUUCUUGAGUGAAGUAGAGGUAAGCGGAAUUCCUGGUGUAGCGGUGAAAUGCGUAGAUAUCAGGAGGAACAUCGGUGGCGAAGGCGGCUUACUGGGCUUUUACUGACGCUGAGGCUCGAAAGCGUGGGGAGCAAACAGGAUUAGAUACCCUGGUAGUCCACGCUGUAAACGAUGAUUACUAGGUGUGGGGGGACUGACCCCUUCCGUGCCGCAGUUAACACAAUAAGUAAUCCACCUGGGGAGCACGGCCGCAAGGUUGAAACUCAAAUGAAUUGACGGGG
rnacentral:rRNA from 1 species